GUCUUGGUCAUUUUAGAGGAAGUAAAAGUCGUAACAAGGUUUCCGUAGGUGAACCUGCGGAAGGAUCAUUAUUGAAUUCUGAGGGGGGAAGACGAGGAGUGCAGACUGUCGCUGGCCCCCAUGGGGCAUGUGCACGUCUUUCUUUUCGUUGACCUUUCUCUCACACAACACACCUGUGCACCUGUUGUAGGUCCUCGGAAGAGGAUCUAUGUUUUUUCACAUCACACACCGUCGUAUGUCUAUAGAAUGUAUUGAAGACCGUCUGAUGACGGUCGAUAAAUAUAAAUCAUACAACUUUCAGCAACGGAUCUCUUGGCUCUCGCAUCGAUGAAGAACGCAGCGAAUUGCGAUAAGUAAUGUGAAUUGCAGAUUUUCAGUGAAUCAUCGAAUCUUUGAACGCACCUUGCGCUCCUUGGUAUUCCGAGGAGCAUGCCUGUUUGAGUGUCAUUGAAUUUCUCAAACCUAUGUUUCUUUAGGACAUGGGCUUUGGAGUUGGGGGCUGCUGGUGGCGAAAAGCUGUCGGCUCUCCUGAAAUGCAUUAGCAAAGGAUGGCAAGUCUUUUGACGUGCACGGCCUUCGACGUGAUAAUGAUCGUUGUGGCUGGAGCGUCGGACAUGCAUGAAUCAUCUGUGCUGCUUCUAAUCCUACUUAGGGCUACCCUUGGCUUGGUCACUUAGCUACUAGUCGGUUGUGAGGCUGACGAACGUUGAGCGCGCUGAGCUAGGCUUCUCUCUAUUCGAAACUUGACCUCAAAUCAGGUAGGACUACCCGCUGAACUUAAGCAUAUCAAUAAGCGGAGGAAAAGAAACUAACAAGGAUUCCCCUAGUAACUGCGAGUGAAGCGGGAAGAGCUCAAAUUUUGAAUCUGGCAGUCUUUGGCUGUCCGAGUUGUAAUCUAGAGAAGUGUUUUCCGCGCUGGACCGUGUAUAAGUCUCCUGGAAGGGAGCGUCGUAGAGGGUGAGAAUCCCGUCUUUGACACGGACUACCAGUGCUAUGUGAUGCGCUCUCGACGAGUCGAGUUGUUUGGGAAUGCAGCUCAAAACGGGUGGUAAACUCCAUCUAAAGCUAAAUACAGGCGAGAGACCGAUAGCGAACAAGUACCGUGAGGGAAAGAUGAAAAGAACUUUGGAAAGAGAGUUAAACAGUACGUGAAAUUGCUGAAAGGGAAACGCUUGAUGUCAGUCGCGUUGGCUGGGGAUCAACCUUGCUUUGUGCUGGGUGUACUUCCUGGUCGACGGGUCAGCAUCAGUUUCAGUCGCUGUACAAGGGCGAGAGGAACGUGGCACUUCUUGGAGUGUGUUAUAGCCUUUCGUCAUAUGCAGUGGUCGGGACUGAGGAGCUCAGCACGGCUUCUUGCUUGUGAUCAGGAUGCUGGCAUA
rnacentral:rRNA from 1 species